rnacentral:tRNA from 1 species
ACCUGGCUGGCUCAGUCAGUGGAGCAUGUGACUCUUGAUCUCAGGGUUGUGGGUCUGAACCCCAUGUUGGGGG